GCUCCGCUCCAUUCUCGUUGAAAAAAGAAGAGAAAGCUCCGCUCCAUGGCCGUUGGCUCUAUAGCCAUUGAAAAAAGCAGAGCCGUUGAGAAAAGCUUCAUGGCCGAUGGCCCCAUAGCCGUUGAUAAAAGCUUCAUGGCCGUUGGCUCCAUAGACAUUGAAAAAAGCUUCAUGGCUUUCACUACUUAUAUAUAUAUGGCUGGGUGAUCUGAGAAACCGGCAGACUGUUUGUUUAGUUUCCUGCAAGUUCCCUCGCCCGCGCGGAGAAGCAGCCCUUCCCGUGGUGAUGGCGAUGGCGACUUCAACAGUGAGGGCUUGUCCAAGAGAGUGAUGGCGCCCAUGCUUCAACAUUUGUUUAAUUUGUCGCCCAUGCUUCAAGAUUUCCUCACCAGAAUGCGCAAUAUGACCCGUGCCCUGCAUCCGCUCCGACGCCACAGAGCUCAUCCGCAUCGCCAAUCAUCUGCGGAGGAAUGUUAGAUAGAAGAAUGCCCAGUCAAUAUAAGAGAGGGCAGAAACCAUGUUACGGAAGCUUAAAGGAGCAUGUUGAACGCAUUGCUUAAAGCUUCUGGAAGACUGCAAUGGUUGAGGCUAGAUAUGUAGAUAGUAUAAAGCAGCCAUUUAGCAAAUACCUGCUUAUGUAGAUAGUAUAAAGCAGACAUUUAGCAAAUACCUGCUUAUGCUAUGUAUGCUACAUCUAAUUCCUCAUUGCUUUUUGUGAUUAUAGGGAUGAUACAAAGAUGAUAAAGUUGCUUAUUGCAAAUUGAAUAUUCAGCGUCCAACAAAUAGGUAGUUGCGAUGAUGAGGAGGAGGAGGAGAAAAGAAGCAAAACUACACAUCACAAGCAACAGGAAAUACAACAGGAUUUGCUUGGAAAGAUUUUGGGGUGGGAGCUUGUUGGAUUCGAGCGGGAAAACUCUUGUCGCUACUAAGGUUUCGUGAGUUCUUUUGGAGUCUUUGGCUCCAUGUUUCAUUUUGAAAUUCUUCAACUUGAAGGUGAGUUUUAUUUGAUUUCUUCCUUGAUUCUUUAUAAAGAACUUUUCUCCAACUUGAAUUUUGGAUUUUAGUUUAGAUAAAAAUUUGUAUGUUUCAAUUUUUAAAAUGAGAGCUGCUUUAGGGAAAUGCUGCCCAAAUUUUUAUGUAUGCCUAGAAAGUGAAUUUUAUUUCAAAAGUGUGAUGUUGUUCACCCAUCAACCAAUGGGUUUUAAGGAAAUUUCCAUUUGGCAAGUUUUAAUUUUUUGAGUUUUUGGAGGUCCAUCAAUCGUGGAUGGCCUCCAAAACCUGGUCGUUGGUCUCCUUAGACUUUUUUGUGAAAAAUGUGAAUAUGAUGUUUUAAAUGUGAAAUUAUUAUGUGGAAUAAUGAUAUUAUAUAUGAAUUUUUUUAUAUGUGGAUUGAACCAGAUCUAUUCUCCUAACGU